UACGGAGGGGGUUAGCGUGUGUUCGGAAUUACUGGGCGUAAAGCGCGCGUAGGCGGACCAGAAAGUUGGGGGUGAAAUCCCGGGGCUCAACCCCGGAACGGCCUCCAAAACUCCUGGUCUUGAGUUCGAGAGAGGUGAGUGGAAUUCCGAGUGUAGAGGUGGAAUUCGUAGAUAUUCGGAGGAACACCAGUGGCGAAGGCGGCUCACNGGCUCGAUACUGACGCUGAGGUGCGAAAGUGUGGGGANCAAACAAG
rnacentral:rRNA from 1 species